GCAGCCCUUAAUGAGGUAUACACGUUACUAAUGUCCAUCCUGCAGAGAAAUGAACUGUGAAAAAAUGCAAGCAAACAUGUUCCAACUGUUCAUACAGAGGAUUGCGUAAGUCACACACUGUGCUUCCACAAAACUUUCCCCACAAUUUGCUGCUGCUCAGCAUGUACUUCACUUGGUUUCCUCUAAUUAAAAUGUGCAAACAGAAAAGCUUUCCAGUGCUAACAGACUCAUGUGCUUUGCAGGCGAUUUAGAGCCACGUGUUCCAGGAAUGGCUGGGUACACCACACCGAUGCAAUAUAAAGCUCAAUCAAGUGGUUGGUACUAAAAUGAUAUGGGUGGCAGUCAUUGGUGAUUGGUUCAACCUCAUAUUUAAAUGGAUUUUAUUUGGCCAUCGCCCAUACUGGUGGGUGCAGGAAACAAUGAUUUAUCCCAAUCAGUCAAGCCCAUGCCUUGAACAGUUUCCUAUAACUUGUGAAACUGGACCAGGAAGCCCAUCUGGACAUGCCAUGGGAUCUUCCUGCGUCUGGUAUGUAAUGGUCACAGCAGCACUUAGCUACACAGUUAGGUGGAAAGAUAAAUCAGCAGUUACCCUUCACAGACUAACAUGGUCAUUCCUCUGGAGUAUUUUCUGGAUUAUCCAGAUCACUGUGUGCAUCUCAAGAGUAUUCAUAGCAACGCAUUUCCCUCAUCAAGUUAUUCUUGGAGUAUUUGCUGGCAUUCUCGUGGCAGAAGCAUUUGAGCAUACCCCUGCUAUUCAGACAGCAAGCCUGAGAAUGUACAUCAAGACAAACUUGUUUCUUUUCAUCUUUGCCCUUGGCUUUUACCUAGUCCUCAAGCUUCUUGAUAUCGACUUGCUGUGGUCUGUGCCCAAGGCCAAGAAGUGGUGUGCCAACCCAGACUGGAUAAACAUUGACACAACUCCAUUUGCUGGACUGGUGAGGAAUUUAGGUGCACUCUUUGGCUUAGGUCUCGGAAUUAAUUCUGAAAUGUUCAUCACGAGCUGCAAAGGUAAAAAUAGCUGUAAGAUAAGUUUCCGCAUAUUGUGUAUAGCUGCUUCUUUAGCUACACUGCAGCUGUAUAAUUUUGUUAAGAUACCUACUCAUACUGAGUAUUUGUUCUACAUUCUCUCUUUUUGUAAGAGUGCAGCUAUGCCUCUGACUGUAGUUGCCUUGGUUCCAUACUGUGUCCACUCAUUAAUGAGGACAACUGAGAAGAAACUUAAUUAGAUAAAGUUUCCAAACGGUUAGCAAUAUGGGGGUGGAUAUGAACUGUUCAAGAACCCUUCGCAAAGGCAGUUUUGCUAACUCAUUUUAACCAAGGGGAUGCCACUGCAUCUUUGAUGUGCUCCUGGUAAGUAACCGGUACAUCCAGAAUCAGUACACUCAAGAAUUACUUUGGCAGCUCAGAAAUAUUAAUUGCUGAUGUUAUUCCUAGAAAUACUGCAACCACACUGCAGUAUGGUUAGAAAUGACCCAAUACUCCGGGUCAUACUGAAGUUUUAAAGUAUAAUCAACUAGUUUUAUUUAGCUACUUGGUAGUCUUUUAGCUCUGUCCAUCUCCAGCUAGAUGGUGCUUCAAGCCUCAGUUGUACAUAGUGAUACUUAAUAUUUAAUUUUUUAUGUAGAUAGUGUGUGUUUAACUGCUAGAUAAUGGUGUGACUAUCACACCACCUACAACUGUACAGCUCUACCUAGGCACUGUGAAAAAGGCUUUAGAUUUAACUUAUUGAGCUUCCUGAGCAAAACAGCUUCUGAUUAAGCCAGAUGAGAAAAAAAAAUAAAAAAGCAAAUUUG